UUCUUGAUGACUUUCCAGAAUAAGACAAGAAGGACAGAGCUCCAUGAUCAGGGUCAUAAAGAUGCUUUUUCUGUCAAGCGCCUCGUGAGAAAUUUUGUUUGCUUUCUUUUUUUUCCAAAGUGAAAAGGGUGUGUGAAUAUUGACAAGUAAUCCACGCCACACUGUUUGUGUGCUGCACUUUUUUUAAUGCAGACUGACUUUGACAAAUAAAAGGCAACCAAAGAGCCCUGGUUUGCAUAGGUUUAAGAGGAUUUUCACACUCUUUCGAAGAGCUCAAUUGCAGUUAAGUACAGGGAUGGAGUCUCCAAGGAAAACGGACUGGUUCCACCUUGAUUCACAUUUGAUUUGCCCUAUCACUCUUUCCUGUAUCCACAGCAUCCACUCAAAAGAUGAAGCGCUCCUCAAUAUAAUGUAGAGGGUAACUGAUCAGCUUGGCUCCAAUGCAACUGUGCUGACAUUUGCUAAAACGCCCAAACCCAAUGGGAUAAAUUAUUCAGUUUACCUGAAAGAUGAGGGAAGGGCUGUGACGGGUUGUUAAAGAAGAAUACUCCUAGCCUCCUCUGCUUUCAAAGGAUGCAAAGGAUUGUCAGCUCCAGCCUACUUCUCAAAUAAACCACGAAAUCCACAAGCCCAAAUGGAGAUUCUCCUUUUCAGCCACAUCCAUUCUUAAUUUCUGUUCCCCCGGCAGGCAAGGCACAGGAGAGACAAGUCAGAUGAUUUGCAGCUCAAACUAUAAAAGAAGUUUCAGAGAAACAAUAGGAAAAAAAAAAGAAGGUUUGGUCAGCAAGCCGCCGCUAGAACACUGCAUAAGAAGAGAAUUUUCAGACAUGAAAUACACACACGCACCCACACAAUACACACACGCACGCAAAUAUUUCGUAGCAUGCUGCAUGAUUACAUCUCACACAUACACUGCUAUUACAGCGAAGCAUGAUUUAUGUGCACCAUCUCAACGUGUCCCGGCGCUUUAUUAUUUGGAAUUCCUUUUCCCCCUAAGCAACGUCAAUAUACAAAAGAGCCCGGCAUGAACAUGUGAUACCUGUUAAGUAUAACAUGAAAUAUGACACUUAAAAGCAAAUUGGUGACUAAUUCCUGGGGCUGUUUGUUCAUUCCCAUUUAAACUAAGUCACCUGCUCUUAAGGAAGCGUUUAGAAAUCAAAAUCCAGAAAACAAAAGCAAAACCGGACUCUGACUACAGGUGGCGUUAAUAAAAUCCAUCCUGACUCA